UCACGCCCUCUCCCUCCUAGGUGGGUGCGUCCCUCAAUUCGCAAACAUUCUGUUAAAUAAUUACAAAUUUAAAAUUUAUAUAGACAUUGACUAUAAAAAGUAUAUAAUAUCAUUAUUUUAUUAAUCUUUUAUAUUUAUUUCGGUAUAUAAUGUUAUAUUUUAAGUUUUUAUUUAGGAGGGUUCCAUUAUUAGUAAAGCCAAAU